rnacentral:rRNA from 1 species
ACUACGGGAGGCAGCAGUGAGGAAUAUUGGUCAAUGGGCGGAAGCCUGAACCAGCCAAGUAGCGUGCAGGAUGACGGCCCUACGGGUUGUAAACUGCUUUUAUACGGGAAUAACGCGCCUUACGUGUAGGGCUUUGCAUGUACCGUAUGAAUAAGGACCGGCUAAUUCCGUGCCAGCAGCCGCGGUAAUACGGAAGGUCCGGGCGUUAUCCGGAUUUAUUGGGUGUAAAGGGAGCGUAGGCCGCAUGUCAAGCGUGCUGUGAAAUGUCCGGGCUCAACCCGGGCCUUGCAGCGCGAACUGGCGUGCUUGAGUCCGCGGAAAGCAGGCGGAAUUCGUGGUGUAGCGGUGAAAUGCUUAGAUAUGACGAAGAACCCUGAUUGCGAAGGCAGCUUGCUGCAGCGGAACUGACGCUGAUGCUCGAAAGCGCGGGUAUCGAACAGGAUUAGAUACCCGUGUAGUC